rnacentral:rRNA from 1 species
CCUACGGGUGGCAGCAGUAGGGAAUAUUGCUCAAUGGGGGCAACCCUGAACCAGCAACGCCGCGUGAAGGAUGAAGGUUUUCGGAUUGUAAACUCCUUUUGUUAGGGAAGAUAAUAACGGUAUCUAACGAAUAAGCACCGGCUAACUCCGUGCCAGCAGCCGCGGUAAUACGGAGGGUGCAAGCGUUACUCGGAAUCACUGGGCGUAAAAAGCGCGUAGGCGGGGUAGCAAGUCAGAUGUGAAAUCCUAUGGCUUAACCAUAGAACUGCAUUUGAAACUGUUAUUCUAGAGUAUGGGAGAGGUAGGUGGAAUUCUUGGUGUAGGGGUAAAAUGCGUAGAGAUCAAGAGGAAUACUCAGUGCGAAGGCGACCUGCUAGAACAUAACUGACGCUGAUGCGCGAAAGCGUGGGGAGCAAACAGGAUUAGAUACCCUAGUAGUC